rnacentral:rRNA from 1 species
GACGAACGCUGGCGGCGUGCCUAAUACAUGCAAGUCGAACGCUUUUUCUUUCACCGGAGCUUGCUCCACCGAAAGAAAAAGAGUGGCGAACGGGUGAGUAACACGUGGGUAACCUGCCCAUCAGAAGGGGAUAACACUUGGAAACAGGUGCUAAUACCGUAUAACACUAUUUUCCGCAUGGAAGAAAGUUGAAAGGCGCUUUUGCGUCACUGAUGGAUGGACCCGCGGUGCAUUAGCUAGUUGGUGAGGUAACGGCUCACCAAGGCAACGAUGCAUAGCCGACCUGAGAGGGUGAUCGGCCACACUGGGACUGAGACACGGCCCAGACUCCUACGGGAGGCAGCAGUAGGGAAUCUUCGGCAAUGGACGAAAGUCUGACCGAGCAACGCCGCGUGAGUGAAGAAGGUUUUCGGAUC